AUUGAACGCUGGCGGCAGGCCUAACACAUGCAAGUCGAACGAGUGGCGGACGGGUGAGUAAUGUCUGGGAAACUGCCUGAUGGAGGGGGAUACCUACUGGAACCGGUAGCUAAUACCGCAUACCAUCGGAUGUGCCCAGAUGGGCUUAGCUAGUCGGUGGGGUAACGGCUCACCUAGGCGACGAUCCCUAUCUGGUCUGAGAGGAUGACCAGCCACACGGGAACUGAGACACGGUCCAGACUCCUACGGGAGGCAGCAGUGGGGAAGAUUGCACAAUGGGCGCAAGCCUGAUACAGCCAGGCCGCGUGUAUGAAGAAGGCCUUCGGGUUGUAAAGUACUUUCAGCGGGGAGGCGUUACCCGCAGAAGAAGCGCCGGCUAACUACGUGCCAGCAGCCGCGGUAAUAC
rnacentral:rRNA from 1 species